CCUACGGGAGGCAGCAGUGAGGAAUAUUGGACAAUGGGCGCAAGCCUGAUCCAGCCAUGCCGCGUGCAGGAUGACGGUCCUAUGGAUUGUAAACUGCUUUUGCACAGGAAGAAACAACGCUACGUGUAGCGUCUUGACGGUACUGUGAGAAUAAGGAUCGGCUAACUCCGUGCCAGCAGCCGCGGUAAUACGGAGGAUCCAAGCGUUAUCCGGAAUCAUUGGGUUUAAAGGGUCCGUAGGCGGUUUAGUAAGUCAGUGGUGAAAGCCCAUCGCUCAACGGUGGAACGGCCAUUGAUACUGCUAGACUUGAAUUAUUAGGAAGUAACUAGAAUAUGUAGUGUAGCGGUGAAAUGCUUAGAGAUUACAUGGAAUACCAAUUGCGAAGGCAGGUUACUACUAAUAUAUUGACGCUGAUGGACGAAAGCGUGGGUAGCGAACAGGAUUAGAUACCCUGGUAGUCCACGCCGUAAACGAUGGAUACUAGCUGUUGGGAGCGAUCUCAGUGGCUAAGCGAAAGUGAUAAGUAUCCCACUGGGGAGUACGUUCGCAAGAUGAAACUUAAAGGAUUGACG
rnacentral:rRNA from 1 species